AUUGAACGCUGGCGGUAGGCCUAACACAUGCAAGUCGAGCGGCUGAACGGAGCUUGCUCGUGGAUUCAGCGGCCGACGGGUGAGCAAUGCCUAGGAAUCUGCCUGGUUGUGUGGAAUAACGGCCGUACACGGGGCCUAAUACCGCAUUCCUCCAGACGGCCAACGGGUGGGAGCUGCGGACCUCCCGCCAUCAGAUGAGCCGAGGUCGGGUUAGCUAGUUGGUGGGGUAAAGGCCUACCAAGGCGACGAUCCGUCACUGGUCUGAGAGGAUGAUCAGUCACACUGGAACUGAGACACGGUCCAGACUCCUACGGGAGGCAGCAGUGGGGAAUAUUGGACAAUGGGCGCAAGCCUGAUCCAGCCAUGCCGCGUGUGUGAAGAAGGUCUUCGGAUUGUAAAGCACUUUAAGUUGGGAGGAAGGGCAGUAAGUUAAUACCUCGCUGUUUUGACGUUACCAACAGAAUAAGCACCGGCUAACUUCGUG
rnacentral:rRNA from 1 species